UUAUGGAUAGGGUUUCCUUCCUAGAGCUUUUAUUUCUUCACUUAAAAGAGCUGCUUCUGUAUUAGUUAGGAAAAUUUCCAUAUUCCUCUCCUUUUCUUGGAUUAUUGGUUUGGAUCUGUUUGGUCCAUCUCGCUACGUUUUAGAGAUAAGGAUAAUCAGAGGAGUUAGAGAAAAUAUCAGGACACUGUCUCCUAAAAGAAAAGAAAAAAUUGAACUACUUCUGUUGUCGGGAUAAUAUAAAGUGUAACUAUUUAGAAAGAUUAACAUCGACAACUUCAUUAGAGAAGAAGAUGGAGGAGAUGAUGCUAGAGGCCUCCAUCUUCACAUUUAUAAGAGACUAGGAGGAAAAGACACAAGCCACACUGCAUUCCAAGUAAAAAAGAUUCCUACUCAUUAACACAUAUUAAUGCUGAUGGAUAAUUAAGUAAUUUGGGAGACAGACCAUGCAUACGGGAAGCAUUUUUGGUAUUUUAUGGCCCCUUUCGCUGACCUAUGUAAUGACCGUCCUGCUGGCUAGCACAGCAACAUAAAACUUCUGUGAACAUGUCCAUUAUGAAGUCUGUGUAAAUUCUAAAUGACCCUUCCUUUAAUUUCUUACAUUAAGAUGAAAAAAAAAAAAAGAAAAAAGGCUGUUAAAACCUAUUAUUCACUCUAGUGCUAUUAAGGAGAAAAAAAUGGUAAACUUAAUUAAGUGACCAAUUUUUAAACCACCUAUAAUGUAGUAUAGAAAACAGAGCCAAUUAAUUUAUAUCUGGCAAGAACAAUUCAUGUCAAACCAAUCUUAUUUCCUUCUCUGACAGGGAAAAUGGCUGAAUGGAGAACUAGGAGUAGUAGCUGUGACAUUUUUAUGUGUGACAUUCCUAUGAUAUGCAUCAUAGGACUAUAUUAGAAUAUAUGGGUGGUGUCACCUUGAGCUGGAAUAAAAUUUACUGGGGAAAAAAAAAAAAAAAAGAUUUCAAGGAAUAGCUGUUGGUGAUUUGCUCUCAGAUUAAGAGAAUCUAUCAAGGGGAGGUAACCAGAGUCUGUCCUGGUACCAUAUUCAGUAUGUUCUUUUAUGCUUCUAACUUGCAAAUGUGCAGCUGACACCAAACUGGGAGGGAAUGGCAGCAUUCUGGAAGCUGAGCUUCAGUAAUAACAAAUGACAAGCCUUAUAAAUUCCAAGCUUUUCAGCAAGGAAUUUUCUUGAAAUUUACCUUUGAAUUGUCUCAGCUGACUCAUUAAAUUGGUAGGGAUUAAACAAUAAUUAAAAAUCAGUAGAAAUUUCUAACAGUGGAGAAAAUAGGGGACUGAAACCUGACACAUGCAUCCAGUGUAGGAAGAAUACGGUGUGCAUCUUAGAGCAAGAAAAGUCUUUGGUCUAUCAGGUUGGUUUAGGAAUCUAGACUGGGAAAUUUCAAACCGUGAUGCAGCAAGCUGUAAAAUGACAAACUUGUUUGUAAUUUAUACAGCCAUCAGUUAGCAAAUAUUUAACAGACACCUUAAUAGAAACUUUUGUCAUACAAUCUGCAGAAAUGUGAAUCUGUGGGCAGAAAAAGCAAUUGUUUAUAGGUACUCCAAUUCAGGAAAAUAUUUAAUCACUUGCAGGUACUUAAAUGCCUUCCUGAAUAGAUGCAAACUUUUUCCAUGCUGAAGUUGUUUCCUGAAUUAGGGUUUAUAAUUUAAGGUCAUUGUGAUUCCAGGACUAACUGAUGGCCAGAUAAUGUAAAAAGAAACUAUAGAUGUGGGAUUUAGGUACUUACAGAGCUUUGGAAACAAGAACCUAAAGAAGAAAUCAUUUUCUUUUUACCUUGGAAAUAUUAAAGUAUAAAGAGGAGAGCAGAAGAAACUCUCUCAUUAGAGAGAAAGAGCAGAAGCAACUAGUCUCAUUAUUGAAUAUGGUCCUCUCUGAAGGAAACUGGGCUUUUCCUGAGCUAAAAUAGUGGUCAUACCAAGCCAGUUGAGGUAAAUUCUCAGGAGACAAAUCUGCAGCCUUAAAUGCUUUCUGUAGUAUACUCAAAUCCCCACUCACUUCUCUCUGCUACUACCCUGCAGCAUUAGUUCUUGCCAAACCUAGGUCCUGCUCAUAUGCUUACAAACUUUGUGGUAUGUGGAAAGAGAACUGCUCACUGGAGUAGUAACAUACUUAAAUAUGUACCAAUUUAAAUGAAAUUACGAUCAACUGUCUGGUCUGAGAAACCUGCAGGAUAUAGCAGCUGUUUCUCCAUUUCCACGCUUUGGCCAACUCAUUGUCUUUCCCUCAGCAUAAGCUUCCUUGCAUCUCUACUAAGCUAUGCCCAAGGGUUUUUUGGGCUUCUGCACAACAGAAUAUUGGUUUCUGUGAGCAGAAUUAGUUUCUGAUAUCUGUACCACACCUGCAAGCAAGUAAAUUGAGUGGGAGAAGCUAUGAUGUCAAUGGCUGCAAAGGGUACACUGGUCUUGGGGCCAAUAAGCUGCACGGUCAGUCCAGCAUCUUUCCUGAACUUUAUAUUCACUUAAAAUUACCAGGCAAUUUUAAAAUAAAUUACUACAAAUGAAGAUAUCUUACGAAGAACAUUUAAUUUUAAGUUUGUAACUCCCACUGUUUGUUUUGGUGUAACCAAUAAAAGUUCCUGCUCUGCAAAGCCCAGUUAAAGUUUCUUCCUGUCUUUAAGUAGUUAAUCUCCACCUAUUCGAUGGUGAUUUUUCAUGAUUCAUCAUACUCUGGAGAAUUAAUUCUGCAGCACAAAAACUCAUCUUAAGUCUGUUCUGCUCAUGGCAGGGAGAACUUGAUAGAUUAGAAAGUAGUGUGAUCUACCUCAGAAACCUACCUCAGGUUCAUUCAUCCAAAUAUUCCUGUAAAUGACAGUCAUCUAGAACAUUACGUGACCCAAUGGUGUUUUUAAAAUCCUAUAGACUUUAAAAUAAAUGUUUUUAUCUUCUGCAGACACACAGAUAUUAACAUACACAAUGCUUAUGGACACCGGAUAAAAUCAUUAUUUUUAGAAUUUCCUUACUUCAUAAAGCAGUACAAUAGCUGUGAUGCCACAAAUAACUCAGUAUGAACUCUUCUUAUAAGCAAACAGAGGAAGUAUCAGUUUAGGAAGAGACAAGGAGUUCAAAAUAGACAACAUAUUAGAAUGAUAGUUUUAGUACUCUUGAAUGUAUUAGCUUUACUUCAGAUCAGUAAAAAUACAAACAUUUAAUUCAGCAGAUCAUUUGAAACUUGGGCAGAAUCAUCUGCCUAGCAAUAAAAAACCACCCAAGUUUUAACUAACCAAGUUUUAUCUGAGAUAAAAAGCAACAAAACCAGCGUACCACUACGUUUGUGACUGACUUCCUUAGUUUUGGAAACAUUUAUUUAUGCUAUCAAAAACUGGUUUCUAGUUAGAUGAUGUAUUUUUUGUUUCAGAGUCUCAAUGUAUUAUAAUGUGGUUUUAAUGAAAGUGUUUUAACUUCCCCCUUCUUGAGUAUUCCAGAUUCUGCUGUAACUUCAUCACUUUUUCACUGACAGAAUUUAAAUCAGCUGGCCAGAGGUUGGCCUUGUGUAUUUUUCUCCAAUUCAUGUGACAAGUUGAAAAGCUUUAGUAGUAAAUGGAGCAUCAGCCAGCUGAUUACAGCUGGUUUUGUAUGUGUAACUUAACCAGCAGGAAAUUACUAAAUUUAUUCUUGUCAGUAAAGGUGAAAAAGCAAGUGUUUUGGAAACAUACUGAAAGACUGUUAAGAAUUGCUUUUGAGGUUUUCUCGAAGUAUAAAUGUGUUGAGCCCUAUUGCCCUGUGUUUGAGGAGUAACUUCAGCUCUCCAUAGAUCAGUAGCCAUAUUUUGGCCUACCUUCUACUGAAUGUGCUGGGUUCACUUUCAUAUUUCUACCUUGCUAAGUAGCUCCUAAUUUCCCUCUGCCUGUAUUUUAGAAGAUGUAUUUGAGGAUUCAUUAAGCUACAAGCAGUGAUUCUCAAGUUAAAUUGUGUGUACAUACUGUGAUUCUAUAGCCUUUUUUUUUGAUGGACUCAAACUUACCUAUAGUGCUGCAGUUCAGAUUCUAGCUGCUGAAUGUAUACUUGCAAAUGUGGCACUUCAUUAGCUUUCACUUCUAGCUCCUUCACUUUGCCAAGGCUGUUCCGGACUGCCUGUCUCGCCUCUUCCACCUUUUUCCUCAUUUCUGCUUGUUCCCUCUUCAGGUUACGGUUGCAGUCUUCCAGACUGACUAGUGCUUCCUGAGAGCUCUUCAGCUCUCGUUCUAGUUCUUGAUUGAAUCUAAUUGCUUCUUCGAUUUGCCCAUCCCUGGAGCUCCGGAUGAGUUCUACUUCUUUCAGGACACUUUGAAGGCACUUGGUCUGGGAGUGGUUCUGCGUUAACAGUCUCUUACUCCCUAUAAAACAGGUUCCCUCUUCCUUAUGGUUAGCGUGGCUUUUCCGCAGUCCUACCUGCAGCGCCAGGCAGCGCGCGUCGCUGCUCUGCAGGGCGGCCCGCAUGUCCUCCACCAGCUCCCGCAGGCUGCCGUUCUCCUCCUCCAGCUUGGCGAUGCGGUCCUCGGCCCGCUCCAGCGCCACG
rnacentral:lncRNA from 1 species